rnacentral:rRNA from 1 species
CCGGUAAAAGUUACCGCUGACGAAGUAAACAAAAUUAUGCAGGCAGCCAAUAUCAGCCAGCCUGACGCCAAUAAGUUGCUUGCUGUAUCACGUGGUGAAUUUGUUGCAGGGAUUAGCGACCCGAAUGAUCCGAAAUGGGUGAAGGGGAUUGAAACCCGCGAUUCAGUGAAUCAGAACCAGCAAGAAACGGAACAGAACGGCCAGAAAGCGGAACAAAACAGCCCAAAUGCGUUACAAAACGAGCCAGAAACGAAACAACCUGAACCAGUAGCGCAACAGGAACCGGAAAAAGUCUGCACCGCCUGCGGUCAGACCGGCGGCGGCAACUGCCCUGAUUGUGGCGCGGUGAUGGGCGACGCAACAUACCAGGAAACAUUCGAUGACAAGAACCAGGUUGAAGUUCAGGAAGACGAUUCGGAGAAAAUGGAAGGCGCUGAACAUCCACACAAGGAGAAUGCUGGCAGCGCUCAGGACCACGCCAGCGAUAGUGAAACUGGCGAGACGGCAGAUCCCUUAAUUACGGUGAACGGUCAUCACGUUAUCACAUCCACCAGCAGGACGUGUGACCAUC